AACUUAAGCAUAUCAAUAAGCGGAGGAAAAGAAACUAACAAGGAUUCCCCUAGUAACUGCGAGUGAAGCGGGAAGAGCUCAAAUUUGAAAUCUGGCAGCUCUUUGAACUGUCCGAGUUGUAAUCUAGAGAAGUGUUACCUGUGUUGGACCGUGUUCAAGUCUCCUGGGAUGGAGCGUCAUAGAGGGUGAGAAUCCCGUCUUUGACACGGACUACCUGCACGUUAUGGUGCGCUCUCAAAGAGUCGAGUUGUUUGGGAAUGCAGCUCAAAAUGGGUGGUAAAUGCCAUCUAAAGCUAAAUAUUGGCGAGAGACCGAUAGCGAACAAGUACCGUGAGGGAAAGAUGAAAAGAACUUUGGAAAGAGAGUUAAACAGUACGUGAAAUUGCUGAAAGGGAAACGCUUGAAGUCAGUCGCGUCGGCUAGAAAUCAACCUUGCUUUUGCUUGGUGUACUUUCUUGUUGAUGGGUCAGCAUCAAUUUUGACCGUUGGAUAAAGUCUUUGGGAAUGUGGCAUCUUAGGAUGUGUUAUAGCCCAUUGUCGCAUACGGCGGUUGGGAUUGAGGAACUCAGCACGCCCGCAAGGGACGGGUUUCGACCACGUUCGUGCUUAGGAUGCUGGCAUAAUGGCUUUAAUCGACCCGUCUUGAAACACGGACCAAGGAGUCUAACAUGCCUGCGAGUGUUUGGGUGGAAAACCCAUGCGCGCAAUGAAAGUGAAAGUUGAGAUCCCUCUCGUGGGGAGCAUUGACGCCCGGACCAGACCUUUUGUGACGGAUCCGCGGUAGAGCAUGUAUGUUGGGACCCGAAAGAUGGUGAACUAUGCCUGAAUAGGGUGAAGCCAGAGGAAACUCUGGUGGAGGCUCGUAGCGAUUCUGACGUGCAAAUCGAUCGUCAAAUUUGGGUAUAGGGGCGAAAGACUAAUCGAACCAUCUAGUAGCUGGUUCCUGCCG
rnacentral:rRNA from 1 species